CCUCAAGGGCAUCCAAGAUGAGGUGUCUUUGUUUCCGCAGUAGUUUCAAUUUUGAUAUUUUUAGGUCAAACCGUUCUUGUCUGUCAGUCAUAUAAUGCAGGUCUAUGGUCACCACCUCAAAGAGCAUGCACAGAGAAGUCCAAAUUAAACAUGAUUUAAUGACUCGUAAAUGUAAGCACACAUUGAUGGCCUAAGACACGAAACGAGUGCUUUCCGGCGCUUGCGCAGACCGAAGCGCCCGCGCCCUCAGAUCACUUGGACGUGGCUGUGGUUACAAGAGGUAAAAAC